CCUUUCUACUUUUUCUUCCCUUUCCCUUUCUAUUUUCACUUCAGAUUUUUUUCACCUCUUCAUCACCUAAUCCCACACCCAAAACUAUUUUUGAAUGAAUUUUAUGCCAUAUCAGGCCACCAUAAAUAAGGAUGAAGGGGUGCCACACAAGGCAUCAAGGGGCACCAACUCUUGGCGUCCUAACUCCCUUACAUGCUCCCCUAACUCCCUUACAUGCUCCAUAUUAA
rnacentral:lncRNA from 1 species